rnacentral:rRNA from 1 species
AAGUCGAGCGGACAGAUGGGAGCUUGCUCCCUGAUGUUAGCGGCGGACGGGUGAGUAACACGUGGGUAACCUGCCUGUAAGACUGGGAUAACUCCGGGAAACCGGGGCUAAUACCGGAUGGUUGUUUGAACCGCAUGGUUCAGACAUAAAAGGUGGCUUCGGCUACCACUUACAGAUGGACCCGCGGCGCAUUAGCUAGUUGGUGAGGUAACGGCUCACCAAGGCGACGAUGCGUAGCCGACCUGAGAGGGUGAUCGGCCACACUGGGACUGAGACACGGCCCAGACUCCUACGGGAGGCAGCAGUAGGGAAUCUUCCGCAAUGGACGAAAGUCUGACGGAGCAACGCCGCGUGAGUGAUGAAGGUUUUCGGAUCGUAAAGCUCUGUUGUUAGGGAAGAACAAGUGCCGUUCAAAUAGGGCGGCACCUUGACGGUACCUAACCAGAAAGCCACGGCUAACUACGUGCCAGCAGCCGCGGUAAUACGUAGGUGGCAAGCGUUGUCCGGAAUUAUUGGGCGUAAAGGGCUCGCAGGCGGUUUCUUAAGUCUGAUGUGAAAGCCCCCGGCUCAACCGGGGAGGGUCAUUGGAAACUGGGGAACUUGAGUGCAGAAGAGGAGAGUGGAAUUCCACGUGUAGCGGUGAAAUGCGUAGAGAUGUGGAGGAACACCAGUGGCGAAGGCGACUCUCUGGUCUGUAACUGACGCUGAGGAGCGAAAGCGUGGGGAGCGAACAGGAUUAGAUACCCUGGUAGUCCACGCCGUAAACGAUGAGUGCUAAGUGUUAGGGGGUUUCCGCCCCUUAGUGCUGCAGCUAACGCAUUAAGCACUCCGCCUGGGGAGUACGGUCGCAAGACUGAAACUCAAAGGAAUUGACGGGGGCCCGCACAAGCGGUGGAGCAUGUGGUUUAAUUCGAAGCAACGCGAAGAACCUUACCAGGUCUUGACAUCCUCUGACAAUCCUAGAGAUAGGACGUCCCCUUCGGGGGCAGAGUGACAGGUGGUGCAUGGUUGUCGUCAGCUCGUGUCGUGAGAUGUUGGGUUAAGUCCCGCAACGAGCGCAACCCUUGAUCUUAGUUGCCAGCAUUCAGUUGGGCACUCUAAGGUGACUGCCGGUGACAAACCGGAAGAAA